rnacentral:rRNA from 1 species
UACGUAGGUGGCAAGCGUUGUCCGGAUUUACUGGGCGUAAAGCGCGUGUAGGCGGUUCGGUAAGUCCGCUGUGAAAGUCGGGGGCUCAACCCUCGGAUGCCGGUGGAUACUGUCGGGCUUGAGUACGGAAGAGGCGAGUGGAAUUCCUGGUGUAGCGGUGAAAUGCGCAGAUAUCAGGAGGAACACCAAUUGCGAAGGCAGCUCGCUGGGACGUUACUGACGCUGAGACGCGAAAGCGUGGGGAGCAAACAGG